AUUGAACGCUGGCGGCAUGCUUUACACAUGCAAGUCGAACGGCAGCGCGGGCUUCGGCCUGGCGGCGAGUGGCGAACGGGUGAGUAAUACAUCGGAACGUGCCCAGUAGUGGGGGAUAGCUCGGCGAAAGCCGGAUUAAUACCGCAUACGACCUGAGGGUGAAAGCGGGGGAUCUUCGGACCUCGCGCUAUUGGAGCGGCCGAUGGCAGAUUAGCUAGUUGGUGGGGUAAAGGCCUACCAAGGCGACGAUCUGUAGCUGGUCUGAGAGGACGACCAGCCACACUGGGACUGAGACACGGCCCAGACUCCUACGGGAGGCAGCAGUGGGGAAUUUUGGACAAUGGGCGAAAGCCUGAUCCAGCAAUGCCGCGUGUGUGAUGAAGGCCUUCGGGUUGUAAAGCACUUUUGGCGGGAACGAAAAGGACUGUGCCAAUACCACGGUUCGAUGACGGUACCCGCAGAAUAAGCACCGGCUAACUUCGUG
rnacentral:rRNA from 1 species